UACAGAGGGUGCGAGCGUUAAUCGGAAUUACUGGGCGUAAAGCGCACGUAGGUGGCGACGUAAGUCGGGUGUGAAAGCCCCGGGCUCAACCUGGGAAUUGCAUUCGAGACUGCAUUGCUGGAGUACGGAAGAGGAGGGCGGAAUUCCCGGUGUAGCGGUGAAAUGCGUAGAUAUCGGGAGGAACAUCAGUGGCGAAGGCGGCCCUCUGGUCCAGUACUGACACUCAAGUGCGAAAGCGUGGGGAG
rnacentral:rRNA from 1 species